UACGUAGGGUGCGAGCGUUAAUCGGAAUUACUGGGCGUAAAGCGUGCGCAGGCGGUUCGUUGUGUCGGCGGUGAAAGCCCCGGGCUCAACCUGGGAAUGGCCGUUGAAACUGGCGAACUGGAGUGUGGCAGAGGGGGGGGUGGAAUUCCGCGUGUAGCAGUGAAAUGCGUAGAGAUGUGGAGGAAUACCGAUGGCGAAGGCAGCCCCCUGGGACAUGACUGACGCUCAUGCACGAAAGCGUGGGGAGCAAACAGG
rnacentral:rRNA from 1 species